rnacentral:rRNA from 1 species
UACGUAGGUCGCAAGCGUUUGUCCGGAUUUACUGGGCGUAAAGAGCGCGCAGGCGGCUGGCCAAGUCCGAUGUGAAAUCCCCGGGCUCAACCUGGGAAUUGCAUUUGUGACUGUACGGCUAGAGUGUGUCAGAGGGGGGGUAGAAUUCCACGUGUAGCAGUGAAAUGCGUAGAGAUGUGGAGGAAUACCGAUGGCGAAGGCAGCCCCCCUGGGAUAACACUGACGCUCAUGCACGAAAGCGUGGGGAGCAAACAGG